GGACGUAUACCUGGGCAGUCAUAGCAGAACUGCUGAAGUUUCUGUACCCUGAGGAACAUAGAAAAUGUACAAUAAAGCUAAGAAUAAAACAGUAUUUCUCUGUGUUCAGUCCAACCUCCUGUUGCGUUCACUGGAUAGCUAUUAUUACAGACUGUUGUGGAUAAACAGUUGUUUUUCUUCAUGGAUUCAGUUUCCUUAAGAGAAAUAGAGAAAUUAAUAAACCUGAUAAAUCCCCUGCUUCCCUAUUCCCCCCCCCCCCCCCCCCCCCCCCCCCACACACAAAAAAAAAAAGGGGGGGGGGGGGAGUGAGGUGGGGAUAGGACCCAGCAAACCAACCCAAACUCCAAUAACACACACCCCUGUCCCUGUGUGUUAAUGCUAUUUGAGGGUUGGCUGUCCAUAUACCUAAAGUUCAAACCACAGAUACUCAGUUCAAUUUCUGGAGAAACCACAGCAAACUUUGUACAGUGAAUUUCUUGUAUGGCAUUAGGGCUUCAUGCUAUUUCUGUUAUUUGGCAGGAUUAGUUCUAUGGGAUUGCUGUUUCCUUCGUAUUGUAUUUUCACAUUCUUGCUGACUAUACACAUAGAUGUCUGUUCUCUCUCUCUCAUAAAAAUAGAAAAUGUCCUCCAUGAGUUUUAAAAUAAAUAAUACUUUAAAACAAGUUAGAGUUGUCAAAAUAUACGGAACUUGCUUCAGCUGACACAAACUGUGGUUUAACUUAUAAACAGUGAGGCAACUGAGUUGCCAUAUCUUUAUCUAAUCUGAAAUAUGCUUAUUAAGCAUGGGAGAGGAGAUAAUUGUUGCUGUGGGGUCAGAAGGUCUUCAGGAGAGAAAGGGGCAGCAGAGCCGUCAGUGAAAAGAAGAAUGGCUCCAGUCUUUUGUGUUUGGAGGCAGAAGAAAUUUUCUUAGCUUUCUUCAGUGCUAGAAGAAAUCUUUCCAUCCUGAAGGCAGUUAUCCUGCAUCCAAGAGGAGCUUCACAUCUACUUUUUCCUCCUCAAAGAAGACUGGCCUGAUCUUCAUAGUUAUCAGGUUUUGGACCAAGUCCCUCGGCUGUACUCCUGGUGGCAAAAUUUCAUCCUGUUCUGUGACUUUCAAAUCUCAAAUGCAGAUGUGCCAUUCCUUAGAAACAUCACAGGAGUUAUUUGCUCAGAGAGAAGCAAAUUUGUGUGAAUUCAUUAAGUCAAACAGGACCAUAAGUAUGCAUGAUGAACCAUAUGUUUGCCUAAAGAAGUGCUGAAUCAAGUGAACGAAUGUUUUCACAAGUAAAUAAAUGUGUACACAAAUGACA
rnacentral:lncRNA from 1 species